rnacentral:rRNA from 1 species
CCUACGGGUGGCAGCAGUGGGGAAUAUUGGACAAUGGGCGAAAGCCUGAUCCAGCCAUGCCGCGUGUGUGAAGAAGGCCUUCGGGUUGUAAAGCACUUUCAGUGGGGAAGAAAGCCUUGGGGCUAAUACCCUCGAGGAAGGACAUCACCCACAGAAGAAGCACCGGCUAACUCCGUGCCAGCAGCCGCGGUAAUACGGAGGGUGCGAGCGUUAAUCGGAAUUACUGGGCGUAAAGCGCGCGUAGGCGGUCUGAUAAGCCGGUUGUGAAAGCCCCGGGCUCAACCUGGGAACGGCAUCCGGAACUGUCAGGCUAGAGUGCAAGAGAGGAUGGUAGAAUGCCCGGUGUAGCGGUGAAAUGCGUAGAGAUCGGGAAGAAUACCAGUGGCGAAGGCGGCCUUCUGGACUGACACUGACGCUGAGGUGCGAAAGCGUGGGUAGCAAACAGGAUUAGAUACCCGAGUAGUC